GCAAUUGGAGCAAUCUUUUCUGCAACAGAUUCUGUUUGCACCUUACAGGUUCUUAACUAGGAUGAGACUCCUCUACUGUAUAGUCUUGUGUUCAGGGAAGGUGUUGUCAAUGAUGCGACAUUAGUGGUACUGUUUAAUGCAAUUUAGAGAUUUGAUCUCACUCACAUCAACUCUAACAUUGCUUUGAAGUUUGUUGGCAACUUUUCUUUAUUUAUCCUGAGCACCUUGCUGGGAGUUGGGGCUGGACUACUUAGUGCAUACAUUAUAAUAA